rnacentral:rRNA from 1 species
GGAUUGGGAGGGUUCUACGGAACCCGUUUGGUGAAUCUAGUGCCGAGAAAAGCCUUCUAUGUGUUGAAUUUCUAGUACCCGUACCCCAAACCGACACAGGUGGGUGGGUAGAGCAUACCUAGGGGCGCGUGAUAACUCUCUCUAAGGAACUCGGCAAAAUGGCCCUGUAACUUCGGGAUAAGGGGUGCCUGCGUGAGCAGGCCGCAGUGAAAUGGCUCUGGCGACUGUUUACCAAAAACACAGGUCUCUGCUAAGUCGUAAGACGAUGUAUAGGGGCUGACUCCUGCCCAGUGCCGGAAGGUUAAGGAAGUUGGUUAGCGCAAGCGAAGCUGGCGACCGAAGCCCCGGUGAACGGCGGCCGUAACUAUAACGGUCCUAAGGUAGCGAAAUUCCUUGUCGGGUAAGUUCCGACCCGCACGAAAGGAGUAACGAUCAGAGCGCUGUCUCGGAGAGAGACACGGCGAAAUAGGAUUGUCCGUGAAGAUACGGACUACCUGCACCCGGACAGAAAGACCCUAUGAAGCUUUACUGUAACUUGGAAUUGUGUUCGGACUUUGUCUGCGCAGAAUAGGUGGGAGGCUAUGAAACGUUCCUCGCGGGGAACUGGAGCCAUCGUUGAGAUACCACUCUGGCAGAGUCUGGAUUCUAACCUACGGGGACAGUUCCAGGUGGGCAGUUUGACUGGGGCGGUCGCCUCCUAAAAUGUAACGGAGGCGCGCAAAGGUUCCCUCAGGCUGGUUGGAAAUCAGCCAUAGAGUGUAAAAGCAUAAGGGAGCUUGACUGUGAGACCUACAAGUCGAGCAGGGACGAAAGUCGGCUUUAGUGAUCCGACGGCACUGAGUGGAAGGGCCGUCGCUCAACGGAUAAAAGUUACUCUAAGGAUAACAGGCUGAUCUCCCCCAAGAGUUCACAUCGACGGGGAGGUUUGGCACCUCGAUGUCGGCUCGUCGCAACCUGGGGCGGUAGUACGUCCCAAGGGUUGGGCCGUUCGCCCAUUAAAGCGGCACGUGAGCUGGGUUCAGAACGUCGUGAGACAGUUCGGUCCAUAUCCGGUGUAGGCGUAGGAGCAUUGAAAGGAUCUCUCCUUAGUACGAGAGGACCGGGAGGGACGUACCUCUGGUGUACCUGUUAUCGUGCCAACGGUAAACGCAGGGUAGCCAUGUGCGGAGUGGAUAACCGCUGAAAGCAUCUAAGUGGGAAGCCCACCUUAAGAUGAGUGCUCCCUUGAGGCCACGGGAAGACGACCCGUUUGAUAGUCGCUAGGUGGAAGUGCAGUAAUGCAUGCAGCCGAGGCGUACUAAUAGGCCGAUGGCUUGUC